rnacentral:lncRNA from 1 species
GUCCUAGUCCCCGCCACACACAGGUCGUGGGUUCUCCUUUGAGAGUGACCACUGGUUCCUAGAGCUUUUCCUAAACUGGAGACGGAUCCUGCCCUGGGGGUCUCAGUCACCGCGAGGACUCGAGGGUAACUGCCAGAGGUCCCAGGUGGCCCGAGGGCUAUUUUAAAAUAUUUUCUGUUUCCUUGAUUUCUCCUCCUUUGGAUGUAUUGGGCUUCCUGACUCUUUGAAGAAUCUAUCCAGUGUCUUUAAGAUAGCAAAACUAAGUGUCAAAAGCACCUUCUGCACACAGUCUGCACACACUGGCCGGUGGUCCUGUUCCCGCAAGGUUGAGCUGUGUUCCAGAGACAUGGGUCCUCCGGGUGAUGAGGAGCCGCUGGAGGGCCCUGAGCUGCACGUGCUAAUGAUUAACGCCCCGUCCGUGCUGGCCGGUUUCUCAAAUGCCUCCUGACGAUUGCGCACAGCCGGACAUCAUUUGUACUGAGAGACAAAAGGAAAUCACUGAGGCUUUCUGAGGUGAGCUGGGCGGCCGC